CUACGGGUGGCUGCAGUGGGGAAUAUUGCACAAUGGAGGAAACUCUGAUGCAGCAACGCCGCGUGGAGGAUGACACUUUUCGGAGCGUAAACUCCUUUUAUAUAGGAAGAAGAUGACGGUAUUAUAUGAAUAAGCGCCGGCUAACUCCGUGCCAGCAGCCGCAGUAAUACGGAGGGCGCAAGCGUUACUCGGAAUCACUGGGCGUAAAGAGCGUGUAGGCGGAUUAAAAAGUCAGAAGUGAAAUCCUAUAGCUUAACUAUAGAACUGCUUCUGAAACUCUUAAUCUAGAAUAUGGGAGAGGUAGAUGGAAUUGCUGGUGUAGGGGUAAAAUCCGUAGAGAUCAGAAGGAAUACCGAUUGCGAAGGCGAUCUACUAGAACAUUAUUGACGCUGAGACGCGAAAGCGUGGGGAGCAAACAGGAUUAGAUACCCGGGUAGUC
rnacentral:rRNA from 1 species